GCGGUUUUUCGUCUCUCUUCAAUGUGGUCUCGCUUUGAAGAGACCAUACUUGUAACUCGUCAGUUAAGUGCGUUAAGUUAAGUGUAAUUAACGCCAAAUAAUUAACCAUUUGGAACGCUGUAAUCUGAAUUGUGCUGGUUGAACUUCGACAGUGCAGGCCACACUAUGUGUGAUUGGUUAUCAAAGAGAGGCAGAAAUGGCAGAAAGGUAACCUGAUGCAGUCCAUUCAUGUCAACGCCACUGUCCAUCUCACUAUGUAGUAUGUGGACAAUAGGCAACCCAACCAUAUUUUCCUCUACACUGAAGUCAAUUUAUCAUAAUUGAAAUUAAGUUAAUCUCUUCAUCACAACACAUUUUGAUUUUGGUGUAGACCAAGGUCCAUCUAAGAAGUUUACAAGCCAACAAGAACAAGUGAUAGUAGACCGAAAGAUUCCGUGAUUGUAUCUGCUAAAUCGUCGGGGUGGACCAAGGGUAGAUGUAACCGGCUUUCGAUCGGAGGAGGGGAAUGAAUGUGCCCAUUGGUGGUGGUGGCGAAUGAUGGCUAUUACCAGGGACUUGCUUAUUUUGGCACGGUUUGGUUUCGAGUACGUACUGGAAUAAAAAGCAGGUGACCUCUGUGCGAAUAACCUUCACCAACCUUCUGAAUC